UACGGAGGAUGCAAGCGUUAUCCGGAAUGAUUGGGCGUAAAGCGUCCGCAGGUGGCAAUGUAAGUCUGCUGUCAAAGCGUCUGGCUCAACCAGAUAAAGGCAGUGGAAACUACAUAGCUAGAGUAAGGUAGGGGUAGAGGGAAUUCCUGGUGUAGCGGUGAAAUGCGUAGAGAUCAGGAAGAACACCGGUGGCGAAAGCGCUCUGCUGGACCUUAACUGACACUGAGGGACGAAAGCCAGGGGAGCAAACGGG
rnacentral:rRNA from 1 species